CCAUAACCCAUGCCGAGUUCCUGCCACGCGUUGGCAGGGAGCGGGGGACCCAGUGAUCGCCGAGUGGCGAUCGGGGGCGAAUCGCCGGACGAGUCCGGCGUAGCGCACGUCUUACGCGCGAGCCCGACAGCUAACCCCGUAGGCGAUGAGACGAAGGGACA
rnacentral:sRNA from 1 species